GCUAUACUGCAAGUCGAACGAACUUCGGUUUAUUGAUGUAUGCACUGUACUUGGACUGAUUGAUAUUUGGUGGAAGUGGUGGCGAACGGGUGAGUAACAUGUGGGUAACCUGCCCAUAACUCCGGGAAACACCUGGAAACCCAUGCUAAUACCGGAUCACAGAGAAAACCGCAUGGUUUUCUUUUUCAGAUGGCUCUGCUAUCACUUCUGGAUGGACCCGCGGCGUAUUAGCUAGUUGGUGAGGUAAAGGCUCACCAAGGCAGUGAUACCUGACCGACCUGAGAGGGUAAUCGGCCACAUUGGGACUGAGACACGGCCCGGACUCCUACGGGAGGCAAUCUUCCAGAAUCUUCCACAAUGGACGCAAGUCUGAUGGAGCAACGCCGCGUGAGUGAAGAAUCGUUUCGGCUCGUAAAGCUCUGUUGUUAUAUAAGAACGUGGCUGAGAGUAACUGUUUACCCUUUGACCGUAUUUAACCGGAAAGCCACGGCUAACUACGUGCCAGCAGCCGCGGUAAUACGUAGGUGGCAAGCGUUAUCCGGAUUUAUUGGGCGUAAAGCGAGCGCAUGCGGUCUUUUGUGACUCCUGUGAAAUCCUUCGGCUCAACCGUAGAAUGCAUUGGAAACUGAGUGACUUGAGUGCAGAAGAAGAUCGUGUAACUCCGUGUGUAUGCGGUAGAUAUGCGUAAUAUACGGAAUGACACCAGUGGCUGACGCGGCUGUACGGUCUGCUAAUGAUCGCAGAGGCUCGUAAGCAUGCGGUAUAAACAGGAUUGGAUACCCUGACUAGUACACUGACGAUAACUAUUGAUUACUAGGUGUUNGACGCGUNNNGCCCUUCNNUGCUGCANCUAAC
rnacentral:rRNA from 1 species